GGAAAGAUAUUUACAUGUACAGGUAUAUAAAUAUAUUGACAUCUCUCUCUCUAUCUGUAAAAUUACUUAGUUGGGUUAUGAUUAAAUCUUUUUGUCCAGCUUAAUUACUAUAUAAAUUAUGAUCUUGUUCAAGAUUUCUUCAAGACUUCCUUCCUUGUUCUCCUCUCCAAUGGAUUUAGCUAUACAUGAAGAUUACCCAGAUACAUAAGAUCUAUAUUCAUAAAUAUUAGCAAGAUACUUCUCAUGAUCCUCAAAUCUCAAUCUUGUUUAUUAUUUUUUAAUAUUUAUUUACUUGAUUUUUAUGAAUAUCACAU
rnacentral:misc_RNA from 1 species